GUCAAGAUGGUUGAGUGGCUUAAGGCAUUAAACUCAAGUUUUGGUCUUCGUAAGAGGGCAUGGGUUCAAAUCCCAUUUCUAACA
rnacentral:tRNA from 1 species